rnacentral:tRNA from 5 species
AAGGAUUUAAGUUAAUUAAACUUUUAACCUUCAAAGUUAACAAUAGAUUUUAUCUAAGCCUUA